CAAGGACUGAGAAUUUAGGGACUUACCCCAAGCCUCAGAGUUAUCAUCUCAUGUGGGAAGGAGAUUCAUGGCUCCUGGACUCUGCUGUGAUAUUAGAGCUUGAUUUGGAGGUAGUUACUUGAUUUCCUGGGCACUUAUCUAAGGCAGAACAUUCUGAACAGAACCUCCAUUCUGUUUCAGAGAUGACGAGAUGCUUCCACUGAAGCCAGCCAGACAGGGACAUUAGUCUAUGAAUUUGGUUUCUGCAAAACACAUACUGAUUCACUUUCUCAUGGCUCUUGAUGCUCAGAAUUGUCCCAUCAUCAUCCAGUUCUUUACUUUUGCUGUGUUUAGUUUACCCGAGAGGGAAAAAAUUGAACCGAGCAACACAAGAUAUGUGGAUAAUAAAAAAAAAUUAAAUAAACAUUUCUUCCCCUAAGGUUAAAAGGAAAGAGAAGGAUUCAAAUAAAACCUAAGAAUAAUGGUGCAUUUAUAAUAAACAUCAUAUUCCUUGCCUUGGCUCUAUGAUGUCAUCACUAUUAUUUACAUAACAUUCCAGACAGUGCAGCCCAAACUGGUGAUGCUGCAUCAAAGGGUGGGAAGCCUCACACUUACUGUUAUAUAUCAGUAUAGUCAUUUUAUUCAUAUACAAAUAAAUGAACUUACUAUGCAGUAUAUUAAGUGAUAAAUGCAAAGAAGAAAAAUAAAGAAGGAGAGGAGAGGUGAUGGUGAUGACAGGUGGGCAGCCUUAGAUAGCCAUAGGAACGUCUUAUUUUAAACACUUUCCAGGUUUGCAAGCUAUGCCCUAAACAGCACUAUAUGGAAUAGAUGUGGCCAAAGCCACCAGCACUAAGAAAAUGGGGUCACAGCCAUGGAGAUGAGGCAUUUGACCCUUGUGCAUGCACCUAGUUCUCUGCAGAUAGUGCAAAAGCAAGUGGAUGUAUAACCAUACCCCAUUUUCUUCAAUUUAACUGUUAUAAUGUUUAUUUUUAUUUGUAUCCAGAAAGAAUUCCGACAUAGAGAAUAUCAACUUUAUUUUUCAAUAUAAAAGCCAAGUUAUUAUACAUAAUUUUAACAGUGAUUCGAGUGACAGAUCAACUAACAAAUGUUUAAUUUAAAUCUACUUAAAGAGGACUCUUUCCUUCCUUUUUUAAAAAUGUUUAUUUAAUUAAAUAUUUUUAAUUUUUUUUGGGGUCUCAAGUUGAAGUCACUUUUGAAGCAGCUUUCCUGGAUGGAAUUGACACCAAGAGCUACUGCUAUGUUCUCUCACUUUUUUCCUUUUAUUAUAACAUGAAUGGUUCACAGAAGGGCUGUGUUCUGUGAAUAUUGGAAACUACAAAUAUAGAAUUGAGCCCUUUGCAGAGAUUUUGCAGCUGGAGUGAUGACAGACUGGAUUUUACUGAGGAACAGAGUCUAAGUCAUACCAUUCAGGUGUCUACCAAAUCUGAGAGGCUGAAAAUCCAGUGCACGUGGAAACUAUAAAACCCCUGUGCGUUUGACAGUGAUUUUCUCUGCAUGAUGAGGGAGAGGGAGAGGAGGGAGCCUGGAAGUCCUGUAGCAAUGAGAUGACCAGUAUGCGGACCUAAACACCUCCUUGCAGUGGUGUGGCGGGCAGAAUCCUGGCCCUCUUAAAGAUGGCCACACUUUAAUCCCCGGAACCUGUGAAUGUGUUACUUUCUCUGGCAAAGGAACUUGGGCGAUGUGAUUAAGUGUAUGCACCUUGAGGGGGGGACCUUAUCUUGGAUUAUUCAUGCAGACCCCAUCUAAUCUGGCUUGGCCAUAGAGAGAAGCGAUGGAAGAGGAGGGAGAAAUUCAGAGUGUGAGGGCUCAGCAUUGCUGCCUUUAAAGGUGAAGGAAGGGGACAAUGACCCAAGGCAUGUGGCAUCCUCUGGAGGCUUGGAAUGGCCCUUGGCCAAUAGCCGGGAAGGAAAGAGAGACGCCAAUUCUACAGAUACAGGAACUGAUGCACCAAUAACCUGUAUGAUCAAGGAAAGGUAUCUUUACCUAGAGCCUCCAAGAAGGAACAUAGUCCUUCUAGUACCUUAAUUGCAGCUGGAUGAGACCCAUAUCAGACGUCUGAUCUACAAAACUAUAAGCCAUGCUCUUUGGGGUAAUUUGUUAGAGCAGUGGUAGGAAACUAUUACAAAUGUUAAGAAAGGAAUGAAAAAGAUGAAGCGUGGGGUUUUCUUUGGGUCACUUUUAGGACUUGGAACAAGCUACCAUGUGGAAUGAGGCAAAACUCUAUUUGCUUUCAUAUUUUGAAAACACUCAUUAUUGACAACUCAGGGAAACAUCUGGGUCAGUGAAAAUAAUGGAUAAAGGACACAUCUACCCAAGAAUCAGACUAUGAUGAUGUGGUAUAUAGUUCUUCCUUUUCAGACAGGUCCAGGAGAUAGGAGACAUAGCCUUUUUGUUGCAACAUUAAAAAUUAACUUCCAAAUUCUUUUAGUGAACUCUUUCUCUUCUUGUUUUCAGGUAGGUGUCAAUUGCAAUUGCUCAAGCGUCUUACGACAAUUAAUCAUUUGACAUGGAAAGAUGAUGUAGCCAGGAGUUAGGUCCAUUUUUAUAUCAACUUCUUUGCUUUUUCUCUGCAGUUUAUUGAAUCUUUUACAGUAUCCGUGCUUGAGUAUAUAGCUGACCCUUGAACCACUUGAGGGUCAGGGGUGCCAACCUUUCAUAUUAUUGAAAAUCUGUGUAUAAUUUAUAGUCCACCCUUCAAAUUCGUGGUGCCUCCACAUUCAUGGCUCCUCACCCCGUCUUUCUUCUGUGACCGGAGGAAACACACCUGGUUCCGCAUCCGCAGAUCCAGCCACCUCCGGUGGUCUAGUUCUAUAUUAUUUAGUAUAGCCAAAAUCCACUUGUAAGUUGACCUGUGCCCUUCAAACCCAUGUUGUUCCACGGUCAGCUCUAAUCUUUCUCCCUCACUUGGCUUUGUUUCACCUUAAUUCAGAUUGCUCUGAGAGGCAGGGUCUGAGUCUGUUAAAGGUAUACACACACAAGUAGGCCUUGUGAGGUCCAUCCUGCAUGGGUGUAGUCUCCUUAAUAGGGUUAAGCUGUUGUGUUUGUGCCCGUGUGUUGUUUUAGGUUGGGCACAAGCCUGACAGAUCUUCUCCUCCUUAGGCCCAAGGCAGAGCAUUUCAGGCCUGUUAUGGACAGUUCACAUAUUGAGGCCAAAGAGACUGUAUUUGGAGAUGAGGCCUCUAAGGGGGUAAAUAAGGUUAAAUGAGUAGGAGUAGGCCCUGUAUGAUAAUAUGACUAAUGUCUUUUUUUUUUUUUUUUUGGUCUUUUUGCCUUUUCCUGGGCCACUCCUGCGGCAUAUGGAGGUUCCCAGGCUAGGGGUCCAAUUGGAGCUGUAGCUGCCGGCCUACACCAGAGCCACAGCAACGCCAGAUCCGAGCUGCGUCUGUGACCUACACCACAGCUCACGGCAACGCCAGAUCCUUAACCCAUGGAGCGAGGCCAGGGAUCGAACCCACAACCUCAUGGUUCCUAGUCAGAUUGUUAACCCCUGUGUCAUGACGGGAACUCCCUAAUGUCCUUUUAAGAAGGAGAGACGCCAGAGCUCUCUCCUUCUCUGCACUCAUAGAGGAAAGACCAGAUGAGGCCCCAGCAAGAAUGAGGCUUUCUGGAAGUCAGGAGGAGUGAUCUCACCAGAAACCAAAUUUGCUGGCACCUCGAUCAGGAACUUUGAGCCUCCGGAAUUGUGAGAAAAUACAUUUGUAUUGUUUAAGCCAUCCAGUCUGUGGUAGUUUGUUAUGGAAGCCCUGGCAGAUUAAUACAAGAGGACUUCAGGAGUUUGCAUUUCAUUCUGGGAAGUCCUUGAGGCAAAUUAAUUUUGGGACAUGCGGCCCUGUCCACUUUACAUUUGAAAGCAAAUACCUCUGGCUGUUGUGUAGAAAAUGACAUGCAAAGGAAGGAGAGAAUAGAAAUGGAAAGUUAGCGGAGAGCCCGCAUGAGAGACGACAUUCUCGAAGGUCUGACUGUGUAAAGCAAAAAUGACAGCUCUAAAUGGUGCAGCUUAUAGCAGGUGAGGCUAGAAUACGUAUCACUGCAAGAGCCAGAGUGGAGAUUUAGGGUUCACAGACUUAUGCUGUGGAAAGGUGUGCUUUCCACGUAAGAGUCCACUGUUAACACUAAAUUGUGAUAAUUUUGUGGUUCAUCAUGUAACCUCUGGGUUAACAUGAAAAAGUUACAAGACGUAUAGCUAAAAAGACAAUAAAGGAACUUAAAAGAAAUACUAAGGGUAUUUUAUUAACUCAAAAUGAGGCAGAAAAGAAAGGAUAGAGGAAAGAAAAACAGAUGGGACAAUGAGACCAAACAGCACAAUGGUAAACCCAAAUCAAGCUAUGUCUAAAAUUAUAUUCCUUGUAAGUAGAAUAAAGAUGCCAAUUAAAUGACAGAGGUUGUCAAGCAGGAGGUAAAAAAGAAGCAAGAUCUAAUUAAAUCCUAUGUACGGAAACAUACUUUAAUUACCAAAACCAGUAUAGAGUGACAGCAAAAGAAUGGGAAAAGAUAUGCCAUCCUGACAAGAAACAUGAGAGAGAUGCGAUGGCUCUAUUUAUAUUAGAUAAGCUAGAACUGAAGAUAAGAAUGAUGAUAAAGAGGGUUAUUUUAUCAUGAAAAAAACAAUACCAACUCAUCACACAAAGACAUAACAGUUAUUAAUACAUAUGUGCUUAAUAAUAGAAAUUCAAAAUACACGAAGCAAAAAUAGACAAAAUUGAAGGGAAAAGAGAUAAUUGCAUAAUGAUAUUGGAGAUAGUCACAUGUUUUCUCAAAAAUUUUUUUUUCAAAAGAAGAGGAGGUAUAAUUUUAUUAUCAACUAAGGUGGAACUCCCUGGUGAAAACAUGAAGUGGUACAAAAGGGGGAACUUUACAAUUAUAUAAGGUACAGGUCACAUCGAGAUGUCAUAGUUAUGACUGUCCACGUACCAUAUAGCAUAACACCAUUAUUCAGAAAGCAGAAAUGAUGGGAUAUUCAAGUAGAGGUGUAUUAACACACCAGCAACUAGGUACAGAGUCACCUAAAUAAACUCAAGCCAUAAGCACUGGGGAUGUAGCAAUUAAAGAAAUAGACUCCUUCCUCUGUGUAUCUUGUAUCCUACCGUGGAGAGACAGACAAUAAGCAAAAGAAGUAAAUUAUACAAUAUGGUAUAACAUGAUUGAUUCUAUGGAGGAACUGCAGUACUGAGGGUGUUCGGUUUCAAUUUGAGUGGAAUGGACAAGGAAAACCUCAGUGAGAUGGUGAAAUUGAUGGAUGUUUUGAAGGAGAUGACUGGAUAAGAGGGUGCUGAGAGAGAGACUGAUGGGAAGGAGGUAAAAGAGGCAAGGUGUAAAAAGAACAUCUUGAACAAUGUAGUUAUAUUGCCUUUUCAAAAAAUUUAAAAUAUAUUAUUUAGAGAUCUUGUCCCCUCAAUAAUUAAUACAAC
rnacentral:lncRNA from 1 species